GACAGAGGGUGCGAACGUUGUUCGGAAUUACUGGGCGUAAAGCGCGUGUAGGCGGCUAAGUAAGUCGGGCGUGAAAUCCCACGGCUCAACCGUGGAAGUGCACUCGAAACUGCAUAGCUAGAGUCCUGGAGAGGAAGGUGGAAUGCUUGGUGUAGAGGUGAAAUUCGUAGAUAUCAAGCGGAACACCGGUGGCGAAGGCGGCCUUCUGGACAGUGACUGACGCUGAGACGGCGAAAGCGUGGGGAGCAAACAGG
rnacentral:rRNA from 1 species